AGCAGCCGCGGUAAUUCCAGCUCCAAUAGCGUAUAUUAAAGUUGUUGCAGUUAAAAAGCUCGUAGUUGAAUUUCGGGGUCAGUAGGUUGGUCGUGCCACCGGUACGCACUGGUCUCACUGAUUCCUCCUUCCUGAAGAACCGUAAUGCCAUUAAUUUGGUGUUGCGGGGAAACAGGACUGUUACUUUGAAAAAUUAGAGUGUUUAAAGCAGGCUAACGCUUGAAUACAUUAGCACGGAAUAAUGAAAUAGGACGAUCGAUCCUAUUUUGUUGGUUUCUAGGAUUGACGUGAUGAUUAAUAGGGAUAGUUGGGGGCAUUAGUAUUCAAUUGUCAGAGGUGAAAUUCUUGGAUUUAUUGAAGACUAACUACUGCGAAAGCAUCUGCCAAGGAUGUUUCAUUAAUCAAGAACGAAAGUUAGGGGAUCGAAGACGAUCAGAUACCGUCGUAGUCUUAACCAUAAACUAUGCCGACUAGGGAUCGGAUGAUGUUAAUUUUAUAAUGACUCAUUCGGCGCCUUAAC
rnacentral:rRNA from 1 species